UACAGCCCUCCUGGCUUUGAAUCAUUAAAACCAGCACAAAAUCCAAUAUAUCGGCCGCCAGUACCGCGUCCACAGCUGCUCUCCGUCUCCGGUCUCAACUAACUGGGUCAGUUUCCGAAGUACAUCGAACGGAUCCCAUUAUCCUCCCUUUCACCUUGCCCAGAUAAAUUCUGCCUAAAACAACCUAAUACGCCCUGGAUCUCGAUUGGAAGUUUGGUAUUGCCACCUACUCAAGCCUCCGAUCACGCAACAUCAGAAUAUCCAUAUGGUUAUUAUUAUUGUUGUUAUUUAGGAAGUGGUGUUGGAAGUUGCUUGUUGUCGAUUCUGUAGGUAUUUCCAGUAGCUAUGCCAGGGAAUUCUAGUUGCAGCGUCUACAUAGAUUUCUGGGCAAGACAAGGCUUCACAAAACCCUCUCAGUGCAGCCACAUCUGCUACAUCGAGGCAGUACCAUGGAGUAGUUAAUCACAUCGAAAUCUCUCAGCAGCUAAAGAGGUCAUCAACCCCUUCUAGGAUCCCAGAUUAUUCUGCGCAUUACACCCAAGUGCUACAUCCCCCUGGUGUUUCUCACCACUCUAAUGGGUAUCGAUCACGUUUCAAUGAUACCAAUUAUGAAUACAGUUGAAGGGUUUUUGGGUCAACAUUGGAUAGCAUUAGUAGCCCUAGGUCACGUCGUUACGAAACAAGUGACCCAAUUUCAUAUCCAUCUUACUGAUAUUUAUUAUGAUAGCUAUAUGACGGUAAAAUUCUUACAUGAUGCACUUAAUAUUGGGGGACGGUUGUAGUUAUUAAAAAAGAUAGGUGGUAGAGUUAUGAUCAAGAAGGUGUAAAGUUAGCAUCUGUUGUAAUUUAUUUCGUGGGUCCCAUCAUUGUUUGUUUAUGAAUACUACAAUUUCAUAUUUUCACUCCCUUUAAAACGUUGUAUUUCUUUCCUUUUGGAUAGUUAUGAUUGUAUCUUUGCCAGUAGGCUGAAACUGAAUAUCAAAUAAUUUCCCUGCCA